UCAAGGCAGCAAGUCGUAGUGCUAGUGGCGACUGUCGCGAGAUACGUAUACGUACAAUAUACGUCCCGCGAGACACGAAAUGUCACUCGUUGCACGAGUGAUGCAACCUAUCGAGACAUGUAAUUUCGUAACAACUCGCAAUCGGCUGCAAAAAUGUAUUUUGCACCAUAGUGAAACGUCAAGGACGUGGCAACGAAAAAGUAUUCAUUCACGGCGUGAUAGGACCAAUCGAAAUUAAUCCGAGGGAAACGCAAGAUUACGCGAAAUUGAAGAAGAAUUCUCUUGGACUUUGAAGCGUCAUAACAGAAAUACUAAUUGGAGAUAAAUGUAAAGCUGAUCCUCCCACAUGCACGAAAUGAUACAAUCUAUUAUAAAACAUGUGAAACGUUUCUUCUAGAAUUGCAAUACAUUGAAAAUCUGCUACGUAUUUCUAUAAAGAGAUAAAAUCUCUUAUUUUGUUGAAUAUAAAUAUAUGUGUAUAUAUGAUACCUCGGUAUAAGACACAUAUAAUCAAGCAUUUUAAUCAUUAAUAAAUAGAAAUACUAUCAAAUACUAAAAUAAUUAUCUUGCCUAUAUAUGUCGUCCUUAUUUACUAUAUGUAUUAUAAAUAUUAAAAUCAGGCAAUCUGCAGAUUAUAUAUAAUGAAAAACCGCAACUUUACGUAAGAACGAAAUAAGCCAAUUUUGCAUAUCUAUACAUACGUAUGUAGAAAUCGAUGGAAACUCAAGACUAUUAAACUGAUUCGUUUCACGAA